CAAUUACUUUACAGAAUGCGGCAUAUACCCCUGACAAGAUAAGACAAAAUUACCUGGUUCUACAAAUCAGACUUGCCAGCAUGGUAGUUGAAAGGACCGAGCACAUACCAGAACUGGAGCUUAAUGAUAUAUUUGCCAAUAUUGGUGGCCAGAUUGGACUGUUUCUUGGGGCCAGCAUACUCACCAUCGUCGAACUCUUCGAACUAGUGGCCGCAUGUUUGCUGGCAAGCCUGACGACCCUUUGGGCCAGACGUAAACAUGAUGGUUGAGGAACAACAUAGACCACGAUUGCUCCAGUCUCGAGGAAGCUGAUCCCUGCUGUGGUGAAUUGUGGAUAUUCAUGUUCCAUUGAAUACAUACAUAUGUCG